rnacentral:lncRNA from 1 species
AGGCCGUACGAACCUAAAAACCUCGCCCCACUUCUUUUCCUUUGCCACUUUAUCAUACCCUCCAAGCCGCUUGACGGAAUUAAACAACUUACACAAAUUAAGCUCCUCCCCCUCAAACACAACACGUUUCUUCGCCGUCUUCUUCCCGCAAUGCUCCUCUAGGAACCUAUAGUACUCUAAUUCAAAGGUCUUCGGAUCACAAGACGCACACCGAGCCUGUAACUGAUGAAUCGCUUGCGUUUUGGUCGGAAAUGUGAAGGCAUUCAAAUCUAAUGCAAAAGGGGGUUUCCAACUCUUGGGUGGGAUGAUUUUACAAAUGCCAUAUUUCUCAGCCUCUGGCCUGAUCUUGUAAAUAAACUCUAAAGGGUCCUUAAAUUCAUCCUCAGUUGGAUAAUACACUGGCCCUGGUGGUAUAUUCAAUAACCCAAUUGGGGAUGCACUUGUAUUUUGCCCUAAUUCUACAGCCCUAGGCCUUCCUCUCCCAUUAUUAUUGCAACUUUAUCACCAAGAUAAUCAAUACCCAAUUAGAUGGUAUAGUCAAUAACCCAAUUGGGGAUGCACUUGUAUUUUGCCCUAAUUCUACAGCCCUAGGCCUCCCUCUCCCCAUUAUUAUGCAAGUACUAACUAUAUCAUCAAGAUAAUCAAUACCCAAUUACAAAAUCUGCAUGCAAGAUUCAUAUAAACAUUCAAAAUAUGUCUCAAAUCACUAUAAAUUCAAGAAUCUUGAAAUUUAAUGGAACAUUUUAACUAUUAAAAAUGAAAUCUUUAACGUACC